GCCCAUUUUCCUUCUGCAGUGGGUUAGGCAGAGGCUGCAGGCAGAGCGGUUUAUACUGACACCGGGCUCAGAGAGGUUAAGCGCUUGCCCGGUAUCACGGGGCAGGGGACAAUCAGACCUGGACCUCGGUGGUCUGACUUCUCAGUCGGAGGCAGUGUGAUCCGGGCAAGUGCCCGAGCCUCCCUGCGCUGCGGUUCCCUCCAGCGGGGAGUAAUGCCGCUCCACACCAGGGAGAACGGAGUGAGACCGAGGGCAAAGCGUCGGGGGUGGGCGGUGGCACUUGGAAAGUGCUCGAAUAUCCUAUUGAAAAUGGAAUAUAACUGAAUGAAAAGUUCUUGUACGACAUGGAGAAGAAAAUUUCAUAUGGAGAAACCAUAUUCUUUCUCAGGGCAAUGGAAGCAUUUCACAUCCCACUCGUCAGACCAGUGAACCUAAUCAUUAUUAGUUAGCGUUUAUGAAUGUCAGCAAAAUGGAAAAGUUGGAAAGGCUUCAAGGCCAAGAAAGUUUCGUCUAGACUUGAUACGGAUCAGAACUGAGCCUGAGAAGAACAGCUGGUCAGAUCUUUUCAUCUUUGGCCUAAGUCAUCAACUUCCCGGAUUGAUAUUUGAUUGAGAGGAUGAGUAAUGGGCAUUGUUGUCCCGGGUUCAGUACUCAGAUUGCAACCGGCAGCCCUACCUCGUCUGGGACAGGGUGAUGAGAGAAACGGCAGCCUAGCGUGUCUGAUACUGCACCAACUUUCUCCUCACCAUAAUGAAAACAUGACAUGAGCCCAAAACUGAGUUAAAAAAAAAUGAAUCCAUCCAUUCUGAUUCAAGGACAACCAUUUCUUCACACUUUUCAUGAUGCUGAAGUGUGGCAUUACUAAAAUCUUUUUUUUUAAGGUGCAUUACUUAAGGAAAUAAAGAAGGAUCUCUCUUUUGCAGUGGGAACCUCGAAAAAGCUGUUUAUUAUUACUUGCCUUGGAAAGAAUUGUAUUGUUCUCUUAAUGGGGACAGAGUAAUUUUAAAAAUCCAGAAAUAUAGUAUUGAAUUACAUGGAAAAAUAUAAAUUAUGAUCACUUAUUUAAUAAAUUUAAUAUACUUUGAUUUGAGCGUCUUCACCCUAGAUUUUACCACAAAUAUAGAUAAAUGAUAUGUCACAUAUGUUAGCACAAAUCCUAUCUCUCAGAAAUGGUUUCUUUGCCAAUCAACAGAAACUUCUGAGGUCACCACAUUUCAUUCUAUAGUUUUCAAGUCAUUACAGUGCAGAAGUGUAUUUAAUUUGUUCAAUGACUGGCCCAACACUGUUCUCUAGCCUGUAACACAGUGACACAUCACAGCAACUAGUCCCUCUGAAGUUCCUAUUAGUACAUUUAACAGCAAAUUCAAUGAAUUCCAAAUGGAAUAGUAUUUUCUCAAAAUCCAAUAGGUUUUUAAAAUAUAUCUAAAUAAUAUAAUGGAAAGAAUAUCACUUAUUCAUGCAUUCAAUGUGGGCUUUUAAUGCCAGCUAUGUGCUUCUAUCAGCUCUGUUCUAGGCACUGGAGAUAUAUUAAGGAGCAAGAGAGAUUGUGCACCUCAUUGAGCUUACAUUCUAGUUGCGUGGUAUUGACAAUAGCAAGGAAACAGACAAUAACCGUGUGGUUUACAGGGAAAAAUCCACUGGACAGAUUGGAAAAGAAAGAUCUUCUUUAGAUAUGAUAAUUACGGAAGAGUUUCCUGAGGAGGAGAAAUAAAAGAACUAAAGCCUGGAAAGGUAUUAACUAUUGGAGGAAUUCAAGAAAGAGAAUUUCAGGUGGAGAGAACUCCAAGAAUACUUGGGCUGGAGGGAGGUAAUCAAGGGAGAGGGUGGUACAAGGCGAGGUUUGAAAGGAUGGGAGAUGCCAGGCCAUGUAGGGCCAUGAAGGUCUCAGUGACGAGUUGAUCUUCAACUCUGGUGCAGUGGCAAGUUUUUGGAGAGAAAGUGCUGAUGAGGGAUAUGACCUGAUUCACCUUUGCAGUCACUCUACCUGGAGUGGAAAUGGAGGUAGAAAGUAAGAGGGGAACAAUCAUUUGCAUUUUUUGAUUCUAGUGGACCAUUUCUUCCUGGGAUGAAGCUACGGAUCUCAAAUAGAGUUCAUAGUACCAUAGUGAAAUGUGUGUGGCUGAACAUGGAAAACUCAAUUCUGCAUUUCAACCUGGUUACCAUUAAAAUGAGACAAUGGAAAUAUGGAAAAAAUGCCUUGUUUUCCUUCACAUUAGGAGACAGGGAAUGGCGUUCAGUUCAAGACUCAGGUUCCCUGAUAGGUUGUUGAUAUUACCCCGGCGAUCUCCAUUUUAUGACUUCUCUUGCACUAGAUCUAAAAUGCGUAUAGACCAGAGCAGUCUGAGAAAGGGGGGUUUCCACCCAACUAAAGGAAGAUCAGAGAGUCAACUGUAGCUGGAAACAGCUGAUGCUUGAGCAAGAUUUUAUUUGUUCAUUCAUUCGCUUUUAUUUAUAUAGUUGUUUAGUUUUAAAACAGAAUUAGAGAGACCUCCAAAGCACUGCAGUUAUGAGCUGGAACUCGGAAUUCCAGAGAGCUGGAUGCCAACCUCAGCUCUGCCACUUACUUAGGGCCAGCAACUUCCCUGAACUUCAGCGUCCUCAUUGGUAGAAUGGACAGUGGGUUGGGGUGGGGGGAUGUGUUUGUUUUAAGGAUUCAUUAAGAUAACACUUGUAAAGUGUUUAGAAUAUUGCAUGGGGUUAAUAAGCAUUCAGUAAUUACUAGUUUUAAAAAUGCAGAAAUGUAAAAGAGAUAUGAUUUUGUCCUGGGUUAAUUACCUCCCAAUUAAAUGAAAAUUUCAUGGAGGCAGAAACCAGGACUGUUUUGCUCAUAACCACAUGCCCAGUAGCUAGCCCAGGGCUUGACACCAAGUAGCCAGGUAAUCCGUUCCACUGAAGGAAGGCAGGUGGGCAAGAGGGAAGGAAUGCCAGGAGGAAGGAAGGAAGAGA